UGUCACGUGAAACUCAGAAUCUUUCCAGAAUUUUCUCCUACCUCACACUUCUUAUCCUGCAACUAUCUCGCCACCGGCAAGCCUCCGACUCUACUGGUUUGUUGUCGACUGCUGUGAAAGUCUUCGUCAGUCACCCCUAAGCCGUUGUCGCCCAUUGAUGCCGGAAAAAAGCCAAAAAAUUGCUGAAACUACCAUCUUUUUGUCUUCUCUGAUGAAACUGUGCCGUCGUGCUGAUGAUGAUCAAGUCGCCGAUCACUUCUUCCAUACCCAGUUGCCGCCUAACAUCACUCCGUGACUGUCGAUCAUUCCGACGGCAGUUGUGUUGUCUUGUUGCCAUCAACCACAUUAUUUCACGAUUGUCCAGAUUCUUUACCAAUUUUGCAGACAUCAAGGUGUUCCUGGCCAAAAAGGUAAUUAAUGAACGUUGAUGAUCUUGAUUCUUAACAAAACAAAUCAUGAAAACAAAUGGUAAUCUCUUAGAAUUAAAUUUGUGAAGUGUCUUUAGGUUUAAAAGAAAAGUAAUUAAUUAUGAAACGAAUAAAACUAAGUUUGAAAUUUUUAGAGUCAGACACUCUAUAUAAAAUAAUACUUGAGUUUUUUGAGAAAUUGAGAGCAUUCUUGAUGCAAUCUAAAAUACUCAAGUAUUAUAGAAAGUAAUACUUGAAUAUUUCCUUAAAAAAUUGAGAGCAUUUUAAAUGAAGUCUAAAACACUCGAGUAUUUUUUGAGUAACAGAGAAGGUCUUAGGUAAAAACCAAAAAUAUAUUUGAGUACGGAAUAAAGCAAUACUUGAGUACCUAGGGAUUCCUUUUGUCACAAUACUCAAGUACCAAAAAUGAUAUACUUGAGUAUUAGAAAUCGAAGGCCUAAAAAUUUUGAAUUUCUAGCUGUUAGAAAGGAAUCAUUUUACUUUGAUAUAUUACCGAAUGUGUAUUUGACUUUUCUCUGAUUGUUGCAGGUUGAAAACUUUAGAUUCAAGUUGCUUAUUUCAACUUAAAGAUUUAUCAAUAACAAGUAUGGACAGAACAACUACUACUUUCUAUAGCAGCCACCAGUGUAGCUGACUGGUCGACCCUUUUGUCUAUAUAAGGAUAUGAAAAAAGAAAAAAGGAACUAGAGCUAGAUAACUUAAAAAGAAAAGAGAUUCACGUUCAUUCUCCUUCUACAAUUUCUCUACAACCUUUACUGCCUAAAAAAUAGAGCUUUGUUGCAAAUUUGAGAAUCAUCCUAGUGUGUUUAUUGUAAAACACCUUGAGUGUUAUUUUUUGUGAGGAUUUCUUGUACUAUGAGUGUAUCUCACAAAUCUUCUUCCUUGAAUUGUAAAAAUGAUAUGUGAGGGGUUAUUGCUUCAGCUCUAGAAAAACAUUUGUAAGGUUAGAUGUUUGAGCAUGUGAAAAAACACAAGUGUUUGAGCCUAUGAAAAAACAUAGGUAAAGUCAAGUGUUUGAGCUUGCGUAAAAAAACAAAAGAUCACUAAGAAAGUGAUUGUAUAGAGGACAUUGUAUACCUCUUUAAAAAAACACUCAAAUAGUAUAUUUACAAAAUCCUUAACUAAGAGUUAAGGUAGUGGGUGUAGGCAAGUUGCCAAAUCACUAUAAAUACUGAUGUCAUCUCUAAUUAUUACUUUUUUAUUCUUGUUUAUUUAUGCUAUAUUUCAAUUUGUUAAAAAAAAUUCUAAAAGCUUAGUUCACCCCCUCUUAAACAUCACUUGGUUAAUAUCUUUUCAACUUCUUUAUCAAGUCUUUAUGCUAAUCCCUCGAAGAGCAAUUGUUUUGUAUCAUGUAGGGAUGAAACCUUGAGGGAAGUGUUUUAUCUUACUUUAGGUUUCAGGAAAGGUCCUUUACCUAUGAGAUACUUGGGGAUAUUUGUCUACUAAGUUAUCAUAUAGGGACAGUAAGCCUAUUAUAGAUAAGGUGGUGAGAAUAAGGUAUGCUUAUGGUGCAUUCGUUUGCUAUCAUUUGGCAGUCGACUCCAGUUAGCACACUCGAUUCUUACCACUAUAUAUUUAUAUUGGGCUUUGGUCUUCAUUUUUCCCAAGCGAAUAAUUAAAAAGCUUGAACAAAUAAUGCGUAACUUCCUUUAAAGUGGUAAUGAGGUUGAUUCUCAUAAGGUGAAGAUUGCCUGGAGGGAUGUGUGCUACCCAAAAGAGCAAAGGAGUUUGGGUAUCAAACCAUUAUAUGUUUGGAACAAGCCCUUGUUGCAAAAUUAAUUUGGUGGUUGCUCUCGGAUGAUAAUGAGUCUUUUUAGGUUAAAUAGGUUCAUACUUAUUGAGUGAAGGAUAAGGGUUUUUGGUUGCUUGAUGAGAAUCAUGGAGGGCCGACUAACAAUGAUGCAAUCGGAUAAGUCAACCUCGUCAACCAUGUCGGAAUUGGAUGAUUGACAAGAUUUGCGCAUAAAAAGGAAUGGUUAUUGAUUGGUUGGUUGAUUGCAAGAUUUGGGCGCAUAAUUGAUUGAUUGAUUAGUUAAUUGAUUGACAAGAUUUGAGAGCAUAAAAAAGGAAUGGAUGAUUGAUUGAUUACCUGAUUGAUUGAUUGAAAAGAUCUCGGAAUAUAAAAGGAUUGAUUGAUUGAUUGACCAGAUCUAGUUAUUUAUUUAUUUUCUAUGUAAUUUAGGAUUUUUAUUAAUUUCUAUGUAGAAUUAGGAUUUAAUUAUUCGCCUAUUUAAAGGCUUUUCCAUUGUAAACAUUAGACAUAAAUUAUUAUGAAUUUUUGAAUUUGAGAGAUUUAUCUAUUUUAUCUUGUUCUUCAAUGAACAAAACUUUGAACUUAUCAAUGGAGUGAUUCCUUUGUGGCGUUCAAAACUCGAACUUAUCAAAGAUCUAGGCAGUCUUUGUGGCGUUCAUUUUGUUUGAUAUUCCUUUGUGGCAUUCAAAAUCCGAACUUAUCAAAGAUCUGGGCAGUCUUUGUGGCGUUCAAAACCCGAACUUAAUAUAGUCUAGAUUCUUGGUUCGUGAAUCAACGGGUCGGGAAUUCUUUGCCUUCUAUCCGAUUUUGGCUUUUCUGGGGUUCAUUUCAAUCUUUUGUGGGUUCUUUUGGUCUUGUCCCAUCACGGAUUCACAUCAUUGCUCCCAGUGCCUUUCUCGUGUCCUUGGUAGUGGAAGAAACUGCUCUCAAUUUGCAAUGCGAUAAGACAUAAUUUUGGAAGAAGGAUAAGAAAUAGUAGGAAAGUGUUUCUGUGGCAUGACUAGUGACAUUCUCUUGGCGCUUGUAGAUAGAUUAUCUUGCCAAUUAUCUAUCACUACUCAUGUCUUAUAAAUCAUUGUAAAUGGCUCUUGGGUAUGGCCAAAGAUGUUUUCAUCACCAUAUUUAGUCAUUAUUCACGACCAGAUACUUGACCCCCUUGGGUUGGGUGUCAGAAUGACUUGAGAUGGCUACCAACCUCAAAUGGGGUAUUUUCUGUACGUUCUGUUUUGCAGGGUCUUCUAAUGCAAUGCCCAUGUGUCCCUUGGUAUCGUUUGGCAUGGCAUAGUAAUGAUAUUUGUAAUAUCCCAUAUCGAGUGAUAGGAAGGAUCGGAACAAUUUACCCUGAUGGGCCUACGCGAAUUUCCCAAGGGGUCACUCAUCCUUGAGGUUCCCCAGCUCAAGCAAGCUUAACCCCGGAGUUUCUUGCCUACAUUCAGCUCAAAAGAUGAUUUCUUUGCAAGGAGGUAGUAAAACGUCACAAUCACCUUUUCGUUAACUGUGCCUCUUGGUAUCAUCUGGCAUGGCAUAUCAAUGGUAUUCCUACUCAUAUAUUUAUUUUUUUUAUUAACGAUUAGGGAGUGGCUAUCUACUAUUGAUUGUAUUAACCUUUUCUUUCCUUCUUUGAAUAUAUGUUUUCUUUGCAAUGAGGUAGCAGAGCGUCAGAAUCACAUUUUCGUUAAUUGUUCCUAUUCCCAUAAGGUGCUGUCUUUUUUUCUUUGUUCAAAGAAAUUUGGAUGGCCUUGUUGUUGAUGAGAGAUAGACAUAUUAUGGGCGAUGACAAGGUGGAAUGGUAGGAACCCCCUGACAGGUUGCUGAUUAUUUGGUUUUACUAGCAAUGGUUUAUUUUCUAUUACGGGAGCACAAUAACAUAUGCUUUAAAAAACAAAAGUGAUUUGCAUCCUAGUUGAUGCAUCAGAUCUAGUAUGCCUUCUAAAUGAGGUUAGCUAUUAUUUGUUUCCCUUAUAUUUUAUAGAGUCAAGCUUUGCAACACUUUUGGCGACUUCCAACUGUCUAGUCUUUUUACUCCGCUGAUUUGAAUCGCUUUUGGUCGUUUAAGUUAUGAGUAUAAUUUGUACUUUACGUGAUUAUUUUGGUGAGUACACUGGGGUUAUUAGCAUAACUGUUAGUCUUAGAUGAUCAAAGCCAGCAUAAUUCUUAGGGAAGUUCAUGAAUUGACAAUUCUUUCUAGUGUUCGUUGUCUUCUCCACUAGUUUGGGCCGCUUAUGCACCCUAAGUGAUUUUUUUUUUUUUUUUGUGAGUAUCCCAGGGUUGGCAACUCAACUGUUAACCUUGGAUAAAUAAAACCAACAUGAUCAUUAAGAAAGUUAUUUUAUCUAAAUGUUUUCAGAAGGUGAUGGUUAUGAAGAUUUUCCCUAAUAGUUAUACAUAUUUUCCCUUAAUGUUAGGAGGAUUGUAUAUUUUUAUUAAUUAUUUAGAUUUUCUGGUGUUAUUUUUUAUUAUGUGGCUUGAGGUAUGCCCUAGUUUAAAGCUAUAGAUAGUUUUUUUGUACGAAAUUCUUAUUUAUAGAAAAAAUAUCUUUUCAACACACAUGCAUAUGCGUAUAUAUCCUACCUUUCAUAUGACAUUUGCUAAUUUUUGUUGGUUUUCUUUGAAUUUUACAAUAUUUCGUAGUUGUUCCAAAUUUUCAAUAUGUUGUGAACAAAUUUGAGAGAUUUUUCAUAUCAAAUUUGGAAGUUUUUUAAAUUACUCAAUGGAUUUGUUGGUGUACCGAUAUAAUUUUCUUUGAUUUUUUCACAAAUUUUCAACUUUGAUAUCUUACUCAUUUGUAGAUGGAAUUGGCGUGAAAUGUACUGACUUGUUCUCUUCCAUGUCCUUUAUAGGUGUAGUAAAAUGAUUUGAUUUAGUUUGUGAGUUUACUCAAAAUCUUGGCUCAAAGUGGCUUAUCCAAGUUGUGCGUCUUGUCUCGAGUAAUUUUUUUCAUAAUCUUUCGAGCUUGAUUAUUUUCAAUUCAAGGGUUCAUUGUGAAACCCAAUCAUACUCUUGCAUUUGUAGUUAUGCCUAUUUGACUUCUAUCUUUUGGUUUAUUUGAAUCGAACUUUGUUUGAAUUUUUGUUGAGGUUCAAAGUAGGUCAUCUAAUGAACUUAUUAUGUAUUUCAACUAAUAUAUGGCUUAAAUAACUUUUAAUAUGCUCGCUAAUUUCUAUGAACUUAUCUACUGUACCUAAUAUUGCAUUAAACCCAAUUUGAUCAGUUUGAUUUAAUUUUGUGCUCAAAGUUGACUCCUUAAUUGACCUAUGUUUACAAUUUUUGACUAAUUUCACUUAAGCGCAAUUCUUCGUGAAUUGAUCUUUGGCUCUCUUGGAUUCCUCCCAAGGCUUGGUAAUUCGCCAAACUACCAGAGUCUAGUUUCAAUUAAUUCAAAAUUAAUUUAAAUAUCUAAUUUUUUUAAAUAUUAUAGCUCCAACAUAUUUAUUUUCAACAUGUAAACUUUCUCAAUACAAAUAAAAUUUUC